GUCUGGCUUAGAGAUCUAUUCAACUGAUAGCAGCCGCCUCUUCUGGGGAGAACAGAUCUUUCAGAAAGCACUGGCUGCGCUGCUAAUCAAACGCAACAUUGUUCUCAGCAAGGAGGAAGAAUGGAAAGGUUUGUUUCAGAGUCACAACUUUAUUUUUUUUAAAAGGCACCGAAGUUGUUUUAACAAGUUGCUACAAAACUUGGGCUUCCUGAGUGGAAGCUGUUUUGCACAGUGCAUGUACUGUACAAAAAUCCAGGCAGGGAGGGAUCAGAAAGUUAGUCAUUAAAGAAAAAAAAAAAAAGCCCCAGGCACUUAAUGCCUGGAAAUGAUGUCAGACGCAGCCACUCCUCUGUUAGAACUACAACCAAACAAUGCGCAGGCAAUCCACAGCAGCUGCCCCUGCAAAUGUCAGCGCCAGCCCAGUCAAAAGAGCUUGAAACCUACCAAGCCGGAGGACUGUGCUGUGCCUCUCUCGCCCACAUUUUCCCCAAGCACUCUCAGGAACCUGGCAACAGGUAACGUGGCAACCUUUGACUUAUAAAAGGGCAAGUGGCACAAUCUCAGGGAACAAAUGGACUUUUUUUUAAAGCCAGCAUCUCCCCCACCACUCCCACACCCCCCUCCCUCCCUCCCUCCCAACCAAAAGUCUGUAAAAAACAAAACAUUGACGCGGGCAGUCCUACUCUCGAGUGUCCCCUUGUGGCCAAGCCUGGAACAUCACAUCUGUACAUUGCAAUCUGUGGAUCAGCUACGAGACUGAGAGAAAGGAAUUAAAGGAUGGAAGAAUUACAGGAUCAGGCACUGCUGUCUGUCUGAUCCACGGAUGUAACCACAGCACACGCGUGGCUCACGGUACUAGUGAGAUAAAUGCUUGUUACACGAAGGCAUGAACAGGGAUGAGAAGAGACUUCCUGGAGAAACAAAAGGACUAACAAUCAGGAAGGGGAGGUGAUCGGGGCAGGAGUAAAGUGGACACCUCAGCAAAGCCAUUCGCUGUGAUCUCUGAUUGUGCAGUGUCAUGUCCUGUCACCAGAGGCCCCUCGUGUUUGAUGUUGGCCAAUGCCGCCAACAUGAUCUAGCAGGCCAAAUCCUAAUCUACCAUUCUCUGACACCAGCUGGUCCCCUGGGUCGUCCACCUGAUGUCCCCCAUUCUCCCCACUUGGCCUCCCCCACAGGCUCUCGGCAAAGGACCGUGGGAGGCACCUGUGACACUGCCCUUUUCCUGUGCAGCUGUUUUUCUUCUUCAUUCUUUUCACUCCUCGUUAUUCUUUUUUUUUUCACUCUCAGCCCACACAAAACUAGGAACUUUGUUAUUCUACUUAUUUUUCUGUACUCUGUCUGUUUGCACACAGAUGGAUAUCUGAGAACCAGCGAACUUUCUUUACCUCCUAGUAUCAUUUCAUGAAAAUUAGUAGCACCUGCACAAUGGGGCCUUGGAGACAGGAAUAAAAGGAAAAAUCUGGAAUGGAAUCACAUGACGCAACAGGCUAUGAAGACUCCCUGCCCGGCUGCUAUAUGUCUGGUAAACAGAAUAAAUAGCACUUGAGCAUCCCUGACUCUGAGACUGUGGAGUAGCUGGUUGUUUUUAGAUGGGACCAGGGUAUCGUGCACUUAUUGCCAAUUCUUCUUGCUUCAGUAAGUGGGGUGGCUGUGCAGAGUGAGUGGCCUGUGUAUGAACCAGGGUCCGUCCCAUCUAAUGAGAGUCCGGUCAGGCUGAGUCCUCACCAAGACUUCAGCGUGGAUUCAUCAGUAACCUUGGUUCACCGGCAGGCUCGCUGGACUUUGGAGAAAAGGCUGACCCUCCCCCAAAGCAGCCCAUUGCUGCCACUGCCCUAGGAACAGAGGGCCUGGAGCCAGGGCUUGACCUGGUACAGGAGCUUUUGCACAAGGCCGGCUCAAACCUCCAAACCUGGGAAAACAGGAUGCAUGGUGAAGUGAAGAAGAAAGAAAAUGCAUCCACUGUUCCUUCCUGUUGGUGUCAGCACGAUGAGGAAUAAUUACCUGGAUCUGGAAAGCAGGCGUGUGGGAGGCUGCAGGCCCCCCUGGUCUGUGUAGUUAGGCACUUAAUUUUUCACCCUCCUCCUUUUCUCUGCCCUCCCGAAACCCCCGUUUUCAAAGGAAAAACAGAAAAACGUAUCUGGGUAACCCGUGUAAUACUGUUUACAUCAGUCCACUUGGCCCAGAAAGGAUACCAGCUCCUUACUGAUGCUCAGAUAACAGGGUUAGUGCUUAAACAAAUUAUGCCUUGGGCCGGGUGCAGUGGCUCACGCCUAUAAUCCCAGCACUUUGGGAGACUGAGGUGGGUGGAUCACAAGGUCAAGAGAUCAAGACCAUCCUGGCCAACCAACAUAGUGAACCUGUCUCUACUAAAAAUACAAAAAUUAGCUGGGCGUAGUGGCGCAUGCCUGUAGUCCCAGCUGCUCGGGAGGCUGAGGCAGGAGAGUCGUUUGGGCCUGGCAGGCGGAGGUUGCAGUGAGCUGAGAUUGCGCCACACUGCACUCCAGCCCAGGCGGUGGAGUGAGUCUCCAUCUCAAAAAAAAAAAAAGAAUUCUGUCUCAGUCAUUAUCCAACUUUGUCACUGAUAGAGAAGGACAUAGAUCCAGAGAAGAACUUGUCCAAGUGACCCCAGGGCUCUUUCCCCCUCCAUUACUUUUUUUUUUUUUUUGAGCCGGAGUCUGACUCUGUCACCCAGGCUGGAGUGCAGUGUCACAAUCUUGGCUCAUUGCAUCCUCUGCCUCCUGGGUUCAAGCUAUUCUCCUGACUCAGCCUCCCUAGUAGCUGGGAUUACAGGUGCGUGCCACCCCGCCCAGCUAAUUUUUGUAUUUUUAGUAGAGAUGAGGUUUUAACUUGUUAGCCAGGCUGGUCUUGAACUCCUGACGUCAAGCGAUCUGCCUGCCUUGGCCUCCCAAAGUGCUGGGAUUGAGGGCGUGAGGCACCGCGCCCGGUCCCCUCCAUUACUCCUUAAGUGUCCCUUAAAGACUGUAUUUAUUUAUUUGAAACAGAGUCUUGCUCUGUCACCCAGGCUGCUGUGCAGUGGCAUGAUCUUGGCUCACUGCAACCUUCUGCCUCAGCCUGAGUACCUGAGACUACAGGCGGGCGCCACCACACCCGGCUAAUGUUUGUCUUUUUGGUAGAGAUGGGGGUUUCACCAUGUUGGCCAGGCUGGUCUUGAACUCCUGAUCUCAAGUGAUCUGCCCACUUCAGCCUCCCAAAGUGCUGGGAUUACAGGUGUGAGCCACUGCGCCCAGCAAAGACUGUGUUUAAAAUACUACUUUUCUGUUAGGUACUUGUCAUUUGCCAAAAUUAAAUAAAAACAAUCUAGGAACCUAGGAACCUGUGAAGUCAGUACUAAAAUCUAUACCAAUUUACUCUACAAACCCCCAUCCUCCUCCUCGUUGGUUGAGUGUUUAAUAAAGCCAGGUGCUUUACCUAUAGUCUCAUUAAAUUAAAAACAAUCCUGCAUAGGAAGUCAGGAUCUCAAUUUUGCAGAUGAAAAGGAGGCUUAUCUGGGCAUGCCCAGCAAGGUCUGGGGAACGCCCCUUAAUGGAGUACUUGAAUUUGUCUGCAGGGAGAGGUGGCAUCACCGCACUGUAAAUAGUUUCCAAGGUCAAGUUUGGCUGGUGGCUUUUAGAAUUGUGGCAGAAGGAUGCCAUCCUACUCCCACCUUCAGAGGCAUCUCAGGUUCUGGAGCUCUGUGCUAACUAAGCCCACCUGUGGAGGGUGGCAAUGGAGUGGUGAGAGGCGUGCGAGGUUUCACGUCUUUAAGGGAAAGACAGCUCCAAGGACAGAGAGUUUUUUGUUGUUUGUUUUGUUUUUUGAGACAGUCUCACUCUGUUGUCAGGCUAGAGUGUAGUGGCGCGAUCUCGGCUCACUGCAACCUCCACCUCCCGGGUUCAAGCGAUUCCCCUGCCUCAGCCUCCCGAGUAGCUGGGACUACAGGAGGCGCCACCACGCCCGGCUAAUUUUGGUAUUUUUAGUAGAGAUGUAGUUUCACCAUGUGGGCCAGGAUGGUCUCGAUCUCUUGACCUUGUGAUCCGCCCACCUUGGCCUCCCAAAAUGUUGGGAUUACAGGCGUGAGCCACCACUCCCAGCCAAUUUUUUUUUUUUUUUUUAAAGAGACAGGGUCUCGCUCUGUUGCCCGGUUUGGAGUGCAGUGGUGUGAUCAUGGCUCACUACAUCCUCUAACUCCUGGGCUCAAGCGAUCCUCCCACUUUAGCCUCCGGAAGAGCUGGAACCACAAGCGCACACCACCACAUCCAGCUAAUUUUUAAAAAACUGUUUGUAAAGACAGGGUCUCACUAUGUUGCCCAGGGUCAAGGUCAGAUUUGUUAAUCCUUCUGACAUUGUCUCCUGUUGGAGUUCUGGGUGUUCAUUAGUUCAUCACCAUGCAUGUGAUUCACACACUGUACUCAGAAACACUCUUUUUUUUUGUUUUUGUUUUUUUAUGAGAUGGAGUUUCUCUCUUGUCGCCCAGGCUGGAGUGCAAUGGCAUGCACGAUCUCGGCUCACUGCAACCUCCACCUCCCCGGUUCAAGCAAUUCUCCUGCCUCAGCCUCCCGAGUAGCUAGGAUUACAGGUGUGCGCCACCACUCCCAGCUUAUUUUUGUAUUAGUAGAGACAGGGUUUCACCAUGUUGGCCAGGCUGGUCUUGAACCCCGGACCUCAGGUGAUCCACCUGCCUCGGCCUCCCAAAGUGCUGGGAUUACAGGCAUGAGCCACCGUGCCUGACCAGAAACAUUCUUUUUAUUCGUUUUUAUUAUAAUUGUAGUAAGGGCCCUGGUAGGGGAUUUGUACUGUUUCUUUCCACAGUGUGGAAUGAUGUCUAUAUACAUUACAGAAUGGAGAUAUACAUAUAUAUAUAGAUAUAUAGAUAGAUAUGUAGAUAUAUAGAUAUAUAGAUAUAUAUAUUUUUUGAGACAGAGUCUCACCCUGUGGCUCAGGCUAGAGUGCAGUGAUGUGAUCUCAGCUCACUGCAACCUCCACUUCCCGGGCUAAAGCAAUUCUCCCACCUCAGCCACCCAAGUAUCUGGGAUUACAGGCACCUGCCACCAUGCCGGCUAUCUUUUGUAUUUUUAGUAGAGAUGGGGUUUCACCAUGUUGAUCAGGCUGGUCUCGAACUCCUGACCUCAAGCAAUCCACCCGCCUCAGCCUCCCAAAGUGCUGGGUUUACAGGUGUGAGCCACUGCGCCCGGCCCAGAAUGGAGUAAUCUGAUGUGGUCUUACAGAUAAACACUUCACAUAUGCAAGGGUGUGUGUGUGUGUGUGUGUUAACUCAUCUUUUCCAUUCUCUUCCCAACCCCUCCUUUCCCAUCUGCUACCCUCAGGCUACAGUUCGACUUCACAGAUAGAAAAAUAAAACCUACGGCUGGGCGUGGUGGUUCACGUCUAUAAUCCCAGCACUUUGGGAGGCCGAGGUGGGCCAAUCGUUUGAGGUCGGGAAUUUGAGACCAGCCUGACCAACAUGGGGAAACCCUGUCUCUGCCAAAAAUACAAAUAAAUUAGCCGGUCGUGGUGGCCUGCCCCAGUAAUCCCAGCUACUUGGGAGGCUGAGGCAGGAGAAUCGCUUGAACCAAGGAAGCGGAGGUUGCAGCAAGCCCAGAUCACGCCACUGCACUCCAGCCUGGGUGACAGAGCGAGACUCCGUCUCAAAAAAAAAAAAAAAAAUAGCUGGGCAUGGUGGCGAGUACCUGUAAUCCCAGCUACUCAGGAGGCUGAGGCAGGCGAAUCGCUUGAACCCGGGAAGCGGAGAUUGCAGUGAGUGGAGAUCAGGCCACUGCACUCCAGCCUGGGCUAUAGUGCGAGACUCCUUCUCAAAUGAAUGAAUAAAUAAAUAAAACACAUUAUUUACCUUGGCCCACUAUAAUUUUGCACUACAGGGUGGCAGCUCCGUGCUGUGUACAAGCCGGGUGCCGCGCAGCUUUGAUGCUGCCCAGGACACUGGCCUAAAAGUGUGUCUGCAAGUGCUCUCACUCUUCAUUCAUUCAAGCUCUGCCUAGUACACACUUUUUGGAAACCAUUUCCCAAAAUGCAUGCUUUUAUACCACAUUUCCCACCCACCAGAUAACCGAGACAGUGCACGUAACAUAGUUUGAAUUAAAGAAUAAUCUUGUUUUGGCCGGGUGCAGUGGCUGACGCCUGUAAUCCCAGCACUUUGGGAGGCCGAGGCGGGCAGAUCACGAGGUCAGGAGAUCGAGACCAUCCUGGCUAAGACAGUGAAAUCCCGUCUCUACUAAAAAUACAAAAAAUUAGCCAGGCGUGGUGGCGGGCGCCUGUAGUCGCAGCUACUCAGGAGCUGAGGCAGAAUGGUGUGAACCCGGGAGGUGGAGCUUGCAGUGAGCUGAGAUCAUGCCACUGCACUGCACUCCAGCCUGGGCGACAGAGCGAGACUCCGUCCAAAAAAAAAAAGAAACUUGUGUUGGUAGACAAAUAAAUUCAUGAACUGCAGAUAUAAAUAGAUCGAGCACUAGAUAUGUUUAUUAUCUCCAGCACAGCACUGCCUCCUGGUGCGGAUUAUAUUCCAGUUUUCAAAAGGAACCAUAGAAGAUACAAGCAAUACGAUUUUAUUUUGGAGGGAUUUCUAGCAUCAUAGGUCAAAGACGUUAUUAAGUAUCGACUCUGAAAAAGCAACUAUAAAUACUGCAAAUCGACUAAGCCAGAGGACGCAAAUAUAUCCUGCGUGUUGUGUGCUGGACUGUGGUUGAGACUUCAUGGUUGUGCUCUGGGCUCAUGGGGGCAGCUGACUGCUCAUAAUUAAGAUUGCUGUUGCCGCUGCCUGUGUUCCAAAGAGAACACAAGAGGACAGAGCUAAGGUGUAGGAAUGCGGAAAAACUUGCAGAAACUAGAGCUAGUCUUCGGAUUGAAAUGAAUUACCAAUAAAGGGUUGGGAAAUGGAUCAAGGAGAGGGAAGCGUUUUGAUGGUCCCUGCUCCGAGGUUCAGCCCAUUUGCAGUUGCUGAUAACCUUGUCAGGUCACCAGAUAAAGGCAAGUCUUGUCACCCUCAGGCACCUGGCUGCGAAGUAAUAAAACGGUUGCCUUAUCAUCUAAAGGUGGAGUGAGUCAAACCUCAGCCCAGGGUAAUUAUAGUAAACUGAAAUUGCCUGUCCUUUACAAAAAAAAAGGGGAGGGAGAGAGAAAGGAAAAGGGCUUAAGGCAGGAAAUUGUGUUUGUCUUUCUCCUUGGAUUUAAAAAAGAAACGAGCAAAACAGCAAAAAGUUUUCCAGGGAGUGAGAAAAACAGCCCGGCUAGACUCCCCUCACCCUGGGUUAACAGGAUUGCUGACAGAUCAGGCCCACGUGAUGGUCAAGAAAAGAGGCUCAAGCUGAUGAAAAUCCAAGAAAUCUUAGGAGCCUUCCUUUCUAAAUGUAAAUGACUGAGUCAUUGCUUUGCUAAGGAGGGAAGGAAGUUACAAUCACACCAAGUGACUCAUUCAUUGCUGUUAGCUCCGGCAGUUGGAUAAAAAGUUUUAGCAAAAGCAGCAACAAAUGUACUUUAAAUACUAGCACAGUAAGGGAAUUCCUGUCUUUCAGGAUGAAUGCCAUCCACACAAAAGAGCUCCUGUUGACAUCUCAUUUACAAUCUCCCCCAGGACACAGACAAGACCCUUUCAAUAAACCCAGCUCAGAAACACCUAUUGUUCAAAAUCUUCAACUCGCCACAGGCUACCACCACUCCCUAUGGCUUUGCAAAAUUAAAGAUUUAGAAGAAGGAUGGGGACGGUGGAAGCUAUGAAAAGAGGCAGGAAAAAAGUUCCUUUGACCCGAUGCUGUCAGAGAGUGUGCAUGAAGAAGAAAGUUAAUGGUAUUUCCAUUUAUAUAAGAAGCGCCUAAGAAAUGCCUGUGACGUUCGUGAACUAGUGAUUGUGAAUUCCAAAUUUGAUGCCAACUUUAUGUGUAAAGAAGCUAACUCCUGCCAACAUCGUGGCUGAAUGAACAGCUGGGGCUAUGCUUAACCCAUUCCCAGCUUACAAAAGCCCCAUGGCAGCUGCAGUGAAGCAUCAGAAAAGUAUAGUAAGAAGAAACUGAAUUUGAAGUGGAUUCUUACAAAGGAAAAAGAAAAUCACUGUUGUAACUAUACUAAAUUACUAUGUAUCUGAGCUCCCAGCUUUGACAUCAAGUCGUUACAGCCACGUGAUGGGAUUAUGGAUUAUGUGAUGCAACAAAAUUCAAAUAUGAAAACCAUCUUGGAGGCCGGGCGCGGUGGCUCACGCCUUUAAUCCCAGCACUUUGGGAGGCCGAGGUGGGUGGAUCAUUUGAGGUCAGAAGUUCAAGACCAGCCUGGCCAACAUGGUGAAACCCCGUCUCUACUAAAAAUACAAAAACUAACUGGGCGUGGUGGCACAUGCCUGUAAUCCCAGCUACUCGGGAGGCUGAGGCAUGACAAUUGCUUGAUCCUGGGAGGCGGAAGUUGUGGUGAGCCGAGAUCGCCCCACUGCACUCCAGCCUGGGCGACAGAGACACUGUCUCAAAAAAAAAGAAAACCAUCUUGGAAACUCUGAGGGUUCUUUUUUGAGGGGGAAAGUUCAUACUUUUAAGAUGCUUUGGUUCCUACUGCAUGAAGAGCCCUGCGAUGAGUGCGUGUGAAUGCAUAUGUUGAGAUGCCUUUUCCUAGUGCUUAAUCUUAAAAAUUCAUCUCGGCCAGGCACGGUGCCUCACACCUGUAGUCCCAGCACUUUAGGAGGCUGAGGCGGGCGGAUCACCUGAGGUCGAGAGUUCGAGACCAGCCUGGCCAACAUGAAGAAACUCCAUCUCUACUAAAAAUACAAAAAAUUAGUCAGGCAUGGUGGCGCGUGCCUGUAAUCCCAGCUACUCGGGAGGCUGAGGCAGGAGAAUUGCUUGAACCUGGGAGGCGGAGGUUGCAGUGAGCCAAGAUCACGCCAUUGUUCUCCAGCCUGGGCAACAAGAGCAAAACUCUGUCUCAAAAAUAAAAUAAAAAAUUGCUUUAAAAAAUAAAAAUUCGUCUCAUCACUGUUCUCAAUUCAUAUGUCCUCUCCUUCGAGAGGGCUUUAAAAAAACUAAAACUAUUUUACCUCAAAAUAUACUUCUUUGGCAUAUUUUUGAGAUGGCUGUUCAGAGGGCCCACAGACAGGAAUAGCCCUGCCAAGUUGCCAUUUGUGGAGGAGACAUACAUCUGCAGAGAAAAUCUGCAGCAAUGAAAUAAACAGCUAGGCUUUUUCUGAGGCCCUCUGCCUAUCCAGACCUAGGAGAGAUUAACUGAGUCUGACACCUUUGAAAAUGUGACAGAGAAACACUUAACCACAGACUACCUUCUGUUCUCUCUGAGGACUGCUACCUGUGAGAUUUAACCCACCUGUGCCCUCACCUUCCCUCUCCCCUCCCUGCCAUAACCUAUUUUGCCAUGCUCCGAGUCCCUACUCCUCAGUAACAUCAAGAUGGUAUAAAAGCAUCAACUCAGCCAGGCACAGUAGCUCACACCUGUAAUCCUAGCACUUUGGGAGGACAAGGUGGGCAGAUCCCUUGAGCCCAGAAGUUAAAGACCAGCCUGGCAAGCAUGGCGAAAUGCUGUCUACUAAAAAUACAAAAAAAAAAAAAUAGCCAGAUGUGGUGGCACACGCCUGUAAUCCCAGCUACUUGGGAGGCUGAGGCAGGAGAAUCACUUGAACCCAGGAGAUGGAGGCUGCAGUGAGCUGAGAUCACGCCACUGCACUCCAGCCUGGGCGACAGUGAGACUCUGUCCCUCAAAAAAAUAAAAAAAGAUGGUAUAAAAGUAUUAACUGUAUGGUCUUUUUUUUUUUUUUUGAGUUUUCAUAUGUAUUUUUUUCCUAUGGCAGAAGAGUUUUCAUAAUUUGUAUGACUCAUGCACAUGUGUGCACGUUAGCGAAAUUUGUAUGCCAGCCAGGUGUGGCAUAAGCCUGUAGUCUCAGUUACUCAGAGGCUGAGGCGGGAGGAUUGCUUGAGCCCAGGAGGUCGAGGCUGCCGUGAGCUAUGAUCGCACCACCGCACUCUACCCUGGACGAUAGAGCAAGACCCUGUCUUUAAAAAAAAUAAGUGUAUACUUUUUUUUUCCUGUUAAUUUACUAUCUGUUUGUUUUAUAGACUCAAAUUAUCAAGGCUUCAGGGGGAAAAUGUAAACUUCCCUACAGCUCCCUUUAUCACCCAGUUUACAGCAGCCUCACACCCUCCCAUCCCAGGCCCGCAUCCCCCUAACUGAUUUGAGAUGCCUGGAGAAAAUAAGAUUGCUGCUCCAUCUUUUAUAAACUAAAAGUUUUGGGGUCGGGGCAGUGCAAAGUUGCGGCUUGCUUAUUCAACCCAGUCCUGACCAGCUCUACCGCUGCACUCGCCCCAGCCCUCCACAGCCUUCCGACGGCAGCUGUCUCCAGAUUCCCUACAUUCUAGUUAGCAGCCUUCACUCUCCCCAUGACCAAGGCCCCACGAAGUCUUUCCAAAGCCCCUGCUUGUCAUUUCUGUUAACACGUCCCCGCCUCCCACCUCGAAAUUACAUAGCAGGACCCGCUGCAUCCCCUGCUUCCUUGCACCUUGGAAAAUGGCAGAAAUUACCACGCGUUUCUCAGGGCUUGUAUGGUGGACCCCUGCCAGUGGUUUCAAACCUUUUCCAUACCUUCUCUAUCACCCUCCAGUUCAGAAAAGACAAAAAGGAAACCCCAAAGAAAAUCAAAACAAAAAAACUUACAAGUAUGUUUCCCUUUCCCUCCAUAGUCAGCACUAAUUAUUUCCAGCUGGGGUGGAGAGCAGGGUGUGGAUGGGACCAAGUCCUGUUGCUAAGUUCAAGUACUUGAGAAUUUAACACCCCAGACCCUCUCCAAGCUCUGCUGCAGGCCUCUCAACUAUAUUUCCCUAGCUUACCAUGGUAACAAGCCAGAGGACUAGCCCUAAGAGUAUCCACUUACAUUACUAAAGCGCUAUCAAAUGAACAAAUAAUUCCCUUUGCUUUUCAUGCAUGAAAGGCAAUAUUGUAUGAUGUUUAAGAAUAUGGCACAGUUCUGUCGUCCCAGCUGCUUGGAAGGCUGAGGUGGGAUGAUUGAUUGAGCCCAGGAGUUUGAGUCCAGCCUGGGCAACAUAGCAAGAUCCGAUCUCAAAAUAUUAAAAAUAAUGUAAGUUCAGGAGGCCGACCUUGAUUUAAAAGUGUGUUACCUAGGGAAGGUUGCUGAAUCUCUAUAAACAUCUGGUUUUUAUUGUCUAAAAUGAGGAUAAGAAUGAAAAACUUCCUUAUAGGGUUGUUGAGAGGCUGAAAGGAAGCAAUAUAUGGGAAAUGCUCAGUGUAUUAACUCAGUAAAUGGCAUACAGUAACAACAGCAUCAACAGUUCCAUAAGGGGAGUCCCUUCAUUUUGACCAGGGGACCCGUGGCCCUUGUGAAAGGUCUGAGAACAUCUGAAGCUAACUUCUACACCAACGUGGUCAGAAGAUGCCAUCCCGUAUCCAUGGCAACCAGAUGUCUCCAGUAUCUAGUUUAGUGCCAGGUGGGUGGUGUGCAAUGAAACAACAGAAUCACAGGCUGCAACUCUGUUGUUCAGUUCAUUAGUUUGUGGAACCCCUGUAACACUCAAAAUUCUGACUUCAUAGGACCUUUGAAUUACAGUUUCAUAAAAGAAGUUCUGAAACAUUGACCAAUCAUUUCAUACACAUUUUUUAGUUAUUCUCAGAUGAUGGUUGCUGAUGUAAAAAUAAAACAACCAAAACCUUUGUGUUAGAUAUAUCUUCAAGUCUAUCACAAUAUUUUAGUCCAUUUCCUUUUUUUUUUUUUUUUUUGAGAUGGAGUUUUUGCUCUUGUCACCCAGGCUGGAGUGCAAUGGUGCAAUCUUGGCUCACUGCAACCUCUGCCUCCUGCGUUCAAGCAAUUCUCCUGCCUCAGCUCCUGAGUAGCUGGGAUUACAGGCGCCCGCCACCAUGCCCGGCUAAUUUUUUUGUAUUUUUAGUAGAGAUGGGGUUUCACCAUGUUGGUUAGUCUUGAACUCCUGACUUCAGGUGGUCCACCUGCCUCGGCUUCCCAAAGUGCUGGGAUUACAGGCAUGAGCCACCACGCCUGGCCUUUUAGUCCAUUUUCUAUUGCUAAUGUAAGAGGAAUUAGAUUAGGAAGUAGGUUUUUGAAGACAAAUUUUCAGGUUACAUGAAUUGUUGGUAGCACCUCACUUCAUAAGUAAUAUUAGAUAUAAAACCCUUCUCAGGAAAAAAAAAGUUAGCAUUCUGGAGAAAGGAGUAAAGGAAACAAUGGUUUAUUGUCUUCUGUUUUGUUUUGUUUGUUUUUCAGAGGGACUCACUGUUGCCCAGGCUGGAGUGCAGUGGCACAAUCAUGGCUCACGGCAGCUUCAACCUCCUGGGCUCAAGUGAUCCUCCUUGCCUCAGCCUCCUGAGUAUCUGGGACCAUGGGUGCAUGCUACCAUUCCUGGUUAAUUUUUUAAUUUUUAAUUUUGCAGAGAUGGGGGGUCUCCCUGUGUUGCCCAGGCUGGUCUCGAACUCCUGGGCUCAAGCCAUCCUCCCACUUCCUCUCUAAGUGUUGGGAUUACAGGCAUGAGCCUGUCUAGGAAACAGGGUUGGCCCACAGUGUCCAGUGCCCAGUACUCUUAGGAAGUAUGAAUUUAUGAACAAUUAACGCCCAGAUGAGUUAACAGACCUUGGGUAUAAAUUGGUUGGUCUGUGUCCAAAGGCAAUACAGUUUUAUGCUUCAUUUUAUUACCAUCUGUGGAAUGGGACAAUAACUACAGGAUGGCUGUUACAGUGAACAUUAAAGACUUAAAAUAUGUAAAAGCCCUUUGUAAGUUGCAAAGUGCUAUGCAUAUGCUAGGCAAAGAAGCCGCAGCAGCUACCCAGUAACAGUUGUUACUUUUUUUUUUUUGAGAUGGAGUUUCCCUCUUUUGCCCAGGCUGGAGUGAAGUGGCGCGAUCUCAGCUCACUGCAAGCUCCGCCCCCAGGUUCAAGCUAUUCCCCUGCCUCGGCCUCCCAGGUAGCUGGGAUUAUAGGUGCCCACAACCACACCCGGCUAAAUUUUGUAUUUUUAGUAGAGACAGUUUCACCACAUUGACCAGACUGGUCUCGAACUCCUGAGCUCAGGCAAUCCGCCUACCUCGGCCUCCCAAAGUGCUAGGAUUACAGGCGUGAGCUACCGUGCCUGGCCAGUUGUCACUUUUUUCUGGCUCCAGCUGAGUAACAUUUCCAAACCACAAUUCUUCCUGGAACAGCAUGAGUUGUGUUGGCCUUGGCCAAUAUUGAACUGGGGUUCUGGGAUACCGCUAAGUAUUAUAUACAAUUUGCAUAAAUGUAUAUUUAGGCUGAGUAGAAAGGGAGAAAAUGCUGUAAAAAUUAAUAUGGGUCAAAAGAAAUGAUCUCUAAUCAUAAAUUGCACACUUCCCCUCUCAACCAUCCCCAAAACACUCAUAAUAUUUGAUAUGAAAAUACCAUGGUGGCAAAUAGCUGUAUCAAAAAGAAACUAUUCUUUCAUUAUAGCGUAGGGUGAAGCUAAGUAGAUUUUAAGAAUUACUGGAGUCUCCCGCACUUUGGGAGGCCGAGGCGGGCGGAUCACCUAAGGUCAGGAGUUUGAGACCAGCCUGACCAACAUGGAGAAACCCUGCCUCUACUAAAAAUACAAAAAAAAAAAAAAAAAGAGCCAGGCAUGGUGGUGCAGGCCUGUAAUCCCAGUUUCGGGAGCCUGAGGCAGGAGAAUUGCUUGAUCCCGGGAGGCAGAUGUUGCCGUAAGUCGAGAUAGUGCCACUGCACUCCAGCCUGGGCAACAAGAGUGAAACUCUGUCUCAAGAAAAAAAAAAGUUAUUGGAGUCAAACAUAACUUGGAGAGGAGACAAAAUAAUUUAUUUUUAUUUUAUUUAUUUAUUUAUUUUUGAGAUGGAGUCUCACUCUGUUGCCCAGGUUGGAGUGCAAUGGCACGAUCUCGGCUCACCGCAACCUCCGCCUCCCAGGUUCAAGUGAUUCUCCUGCCUCAGCCUCCCGAGUGGCUGAGAUUACAGGCGCCCGCCACCAUGCCUGGCUAAUUUUUGUAUUUUUUAGUAGAGAUGGGUUUUCACCAUGUUGGUCAGGCUGGUCUCAAACUCCUGACCUCAUGUGAUCCGCCAGCCUCAGCCUCUCAAAGUGCUGGGAUUACAGGCAUGAGCCACUGUGCCCAGCAGACAAAAUAAUUUUUAAAAAGAUGCAUAAAUAGAGUUGAUAAUUUUGGUGGUAUUUGAGUAAAUGAGUAGAAAAGCUGGGACUGGAAGGUGUAUUGUUACCACAUAGUUGGUGCUGGUUGGGGAGCCUCUAUUUUCUUGACUAGAAACUCACUUCUAAAGAGAAAGAGCACAGAUGCCUGUUAACAAAUAGGCUUCAGGAUGACCUUUUUUGAAUUUCCAGCAGGGAGGAAAACUGGGUCACAAGGAGAUAAUCUCAGGGGUUGCUGGAGGAUUGGCCUUGGACACGCCCAGGUGAGGAGAGAAAACACCCAAGGGAGAUGUUGACAGCAGAGAGGGCAUUGAAGCAAGUCUGGGCAGUAGGAAAAUGGAGCCGAUGGAGAUGGGGGAGGCCAAGAAACCUGCAUUUUUCAUUGCUUUGUCUGAAGCAGUGAGCCCUGGGCACACUUGUGCAGUAGCUAAAAUUUCUCAAGUCUAUCUCUGUAGGCAACUGGAGACAACCUGACAGCCCGUUUCCCCCAACUGGCUCCAGCCCAAAUUAACUCACUCUCUCAUUCCCUGAGACACUUGCCUUUGAGAGGUAAAAAUUUAGCUAGUUUGAUAAGAGAAUGCAUUUUAGGUGGGGAGGGGGCAUUUUAGAAGGAAUUUUUGCAAACAUUUCUUCCCUCAAGGGUAAGAAAUGUGUGUUUUAAAAGGGAGGUUUCUAUAAAGUUGGCCUUAACUCCGAGGGAUAUUUAAAGUGGGGAAUUUCUGGCACUGCUAAUAGACCCAUAGUGCAGCUAAGACCUUUCUGUGGCAUUCAAAUCAUAAUGAAGCCCAGGAAGGAGAAAUGAAAUUGUAUACUUUGCCUGUCACAGGCAUAGAAUUCUGCUGAGUAAUUUGUACAUGGGAUUAUUAUUCCAUUUUACAGAUUUGGAGGUGGAGCUAAAGUUGAGAGGCUGGUAACCAGCCCUCGGGAGACUGCAUUUUCCAAAAGUGGCUGCAACAAUAUCUUCCAUCUGACAUGUCCUUCUAGAACAGGUGUUCACAAACUUUUUCUGUUAAAAGCCAUCCAGCACGUAUUUUAGGAUGUGUGGAUCAUUCGCUGUCUGACCUGACUACUCUAUCACUGUGGCACAGCCCUGGGCGAUGUGUACGUGUACAGGCUUGUUUGUGUUUGAGAGGUGAGCCCAUUCGGUGGUCUGAGGGCGAUAGUUUGCCAAUCUGUGCUCUAGAACUUUGCUGCUUCCCUUCAAGAGGUAGAGUCUAGGCCAGGUGCAGUGGCUCACACCUAUAAUCCCAGCACUUUGGGAGGCUGAGGUGGGAGGAUCCCUUGAGCCCAGGAGUUUGAGACCAGCCUGGGAAACAUGGUGAAACCCCAUCUCCACAAAAAAAAAAAAAAAAAAAAAAAAAAAAAAAAAAAAUUAGCCUGCUGUGGUGGCGUGCACCUGUAGUCCCAGCUACUCCAGAGGCUGAGGUGGGAGGAUCACUUGAGCCCAGAAGGUCAAGGCUGCAGUGAGCCGUGAUUGUGCCACUUAAACCACCCUAGGUGGCAGAGGGAGACCCUGUCUCAAAAAAACAAAAAGAAACAAACAAACAGGAAAAAAAAAAAAAAGAGGUGGACUAAUUCCCUUUUCCUUGAAUCCGAGAGGUUUGUGAUCUGCCUAUAAUUAAGACAAUUGGAAGGAAGUGACACUGCAUGACCUCUGAGGCUAGAUCAGAACAGGUGAUGUAACUUUUACCAGUCAGCACAUAAGUAGCCCAGUUGUCCUGAGGCUGCCAUGCUGUAAGGAGGCCCAAGUGAGUCCAUGUGAAAGACCACCUGAAAAGCCUUGAAACUGUAGGAGAUGCUCAGCCAGCCCCACUUGCUCCAGCCCUCACCUGGAGAGACUGCAAGCUCAGGAGAGAUGCUGAGCCAGAACUACCCCGCCAAAGCUCUCCCCAAAUUCCUGACCCCCAGAGACUGAGAAGUGAUGAGAUGAUUGCUUUAAGACAUUAAGUUUUGGGGGUGAUCCGUUGCAUAGAAAGAAACAGAACAUUUUCCCCAAACUAGUGAGUGGCAGAGAUGGGAUUCAAAUUGAGGCUGGCCUGAGCCCAAUCACCUGAUCUUUCUAUUAAAAAUAAAUAAAAAAUACUGCUGGCCGGGGGCGGUGGCUUACACCUGUAAUCCCAGCACUCUGGGAGGCCAAGGCAGGCGGAUCACCUGAGGUCAGAAGUUCAAGACUAGCUUGACCAACAUGGUGAAACCCCGUCUCUAGUAAAAAUAUAAAAAAUUAGCUGGGUGUGGUGGUGGGCGCCUGUAAUCCCAGCUACUUGGGAGGCUGAGGCAGAAGAAUCGCUGGAACCUGGGAGGUGGAGGUUGCAGUGAGCUGAGUUCCACCAUUGCACUUCAGCCUGGGCAACACGAGUGAAACUCCAUCUCAAAAAAAAAAAAAAAAAAAAAAAUUUGCUAAAAACUGCUGACACAGAGACAUGAAGGGAGCACAUGCUGCUGGAAAAAUGGUGUUGAUAGACUUGCUCCGUGCAUAGUUGCCACAAACCCUUGAUUUGUGAAAAACACAUCUGCAAGGCCUGAUAAAGAAAAGUGUAAUUGCCGGGCGUGGUGGCUCACUCCUGUAAUCCCAGCAUUUUGGGAGGCCAAGGCGGGUGGAUCACCUGAGCUCAGGAGAUCGAGACCAGCCUGGGCAACAUGGUGAAACCCCAUCACUACUAAAAAUACAAAAAAAUUAGCUGGGCGUGGUGGCAGGCGCCUGUAAUCCCAGCUACUCAGGAGAUUGAGGUAGGAGAAUUGUUUGAACCCGGGAGGCAGAGGUUGCAGUGAGCCAAGAUCGCACCAUUGCCCUCCAGCCUGGGUGACAAAAGUGAAACUCCAUCUCAAAAGAAAGAAAAGCGCACUUAAACAAUGUGUGCCUGUAUUUAAACCUAUAUUGGCUAGUGAGUUUGACCAGAGUCUAACAAAGGUUUAUCAAGGAAAAAUGUCAGAGAAUUCAGAUCCUGUAAGUCAAAGACACAACCUGUUCCAGGAAGGACUUUGCAACAGCAAUUACUCUAACAAGUUACAAUUCGCAGAGUCCGGCCUUUAAGGGGCUUUGAAGAGAGAGAAACCCAUGAAUCAAUAAUAAGAUAAGGCUAUUUGGUUUGUUUCAACUUGCGGGCUGUUUGACUUCCGUAUCAAAGCCAUGCCUUGAGAAUGAAAUCAUUUCUGUCAAACAGCCCUUUCAAAGAACAUCCGACACAAACCCUCACUGGCUGCUCCUUUAUUUCCACUGUGUCCAGGGUGUGUUUGGACUUGGUGGAAUUUAGGGGAAUAGCUGUGAAUUGUGCAUCAAAUAAAUAACCUGCAGGGAGUUGGCACUGGUGACUGCUAGCCAUAAAUGUUGCUAUUUGCUUACACAGGUUAAGCCUGGGCUUUUGGAGGCUUCUUUGACCUUUUCUGCCUUUUUCCCAACCCUAACCCAACAUAGCUAUGACAAGGCAGUUCUGGGCCGGGCAGGGUGGCUCACGCCUGUAAUCCCAGCACUUUGGGAGGCCGAGGCAGGCAGAUCACGAGGUCAGGAGUUUGAUACCAGCCUGACCAACAUGGUGAAACCCUGACUCUACUAAAAAUACAAAAAUUAGCCGGGCUUGGUGGUGUGCGCCUGUAAUCCCAGCUACUCAGGAGGCUGAGGCAGGAGAAUCGCUUGAACGUGGGAGGUGGAGGUUGCGGUGAGCCGAUAUUGUACCAUUGCACUCCAACCUAGGCGACAGAGUGAGACUCUGUCUCAAAAAACAAAACAAACAAGCAAAAAACAAACAAACAAAACAGGCAGUUUUGGGUUGUGGGGCACACUUUUUUUUUUUUUUUCUGAGAUGGGAGUCUCACUCCGUCACCCAGGCUGGAGCGCAGUGGCGCGAUCUCGGCUCACUGCAAGCUCCGUCUCCCGGGUUCAUGCGAUUCUCCUGCCUCAGCCUCCCGAGUAGCUGGGAUUACAGGCGCCUGCCACCACGCCCAGCUAAUUUUUUGUUUUUCUGUUUUCAGUACAGACAGGGUUUCACCGUGUUAGCCAGGAUGGUCUUGAUCUCCUAACCUCUUGAUCUGCUCGCCUCGGCCUCCCAAAGUGCUGGGAUUACAGGCAUGAGCCACCGCGCUCGGCCCCCAGAGCACACUUUUAAAGUUAACAGCUUGGCCUCCCUCUCCCAGCAUUCAUCCUCACUGGGCCUAGUCCACCUGUUACACCAGGGAAGAAUUGAGUGAUCUUUCUUAACUUCCCAGGAUCUUAGCCCAAUGUUAUGGCCACUUGUGUCCCCCCACCCCCCCAACAAAUGCAUAUGUUGAAGUCCUAACUCUCAGAAUGUAACUGUCUUGAGAGAUAGGGUCUUUAAAGAGAUGAUUAGGCCAGGCGUGGUGGCUCAUGCCUGUAAUCCCAGCACUUUGGGAGGCCGAGACGAGCGGAUCACGAGAUCAGGAGACCGAGACCAUCCUGGCUAACACGGUGAAACCCCGUCUCUACUAAAAAUACAAAAAAAUUAGCCGGGUGAAGUGGCGGGUGCCUGUAGUCCCAGCUACUCGGGAUGCUGAGGCAGGAGAAUGGUGUGAACCCGGGAAGCGGAGCUGGCAGUGAGCCGAGAUCGUGUCACUGCACUCCAGCCUGGGUGACUGAGCGAGACUCCAUCUCAAAAAAAAAAAAAAGAGAUGAUUAAGUUAAUUGGGUCAUUAGGGUCAUAAUCCAAUAUGACUGGCAUCCUUCUAAGAAGAGAGACAGCAGGGCCUACGUGCAUAGACCAAGUGAGGACAGAGAGAGGCCAGCCACCCGCAAGCCACAGAGAGAGGCCUCAGAAGAAACCACCUUGCUGAUACCUUGAUCUUGGUCUCCCAGCUUCCAGAACUGUGAGGAAAUAAGCUUCUGUUGUUUAAGGCACUCCAUCUAUGGUACUUAGUUAUGGCAGCCCUAGCAAACUAACAUACCCACAAACAGAGAAUUCACAGCCUUAAGGCUGGGACUUCAGAAAAAUUCCAAAGGUAAUAAGCAGAAAUUUCAACACGCAAGAGUCUAGCCUUUUAGCGCAGUUUCUCUUUCUGCAUCUUUCCCAGGUGGCCUGCAGGCAGGAUGGUAAAGCAGUGCUGGGGGCUGGGCAGGGGCACUGCUGACCUGCAAGUCUAGUGGGGUCACUAAGGUCUCUUGACUCAAAAGGGAAGGGACCAGGGUUCCAGUCCUAGAAAGUCCAGAAAGUAGCAGGGAGACUGAGUAGGUGUUUGGUGCAUGGUCAAGAGGCCCAUAUUGAUGCAAGUCACUAACCCCUUCCCUCUUCUAGCCGCCCUAGUCCUUCUUUCCCUCCUCUUCUUCCAGUCUCUUUGACUUUUCCCACCACCCCGUCCUGCGACACUGCUUUAUUAUCAGGUAAGUCAGAAGAAGGGGAAAAUUUGGCUUUACCUUCUGACUUAGCGUCAUGCAAAUCCUGAUGCUCUUUUAGUUUUUUCCUUUUUUUUUUUUUUUUUUUUUGGUGGGAGAUAUGGGAUGGAAGGAUAUUUGCCGGAGUUGGUUUUUUUUUUGUUUUUUGUUUUUUGAGAUGAGGUCUUGCUAUGUUGCCGAGGCUUAAGUGCAGUGGCUACUCAUAGACCCCAUCAUUGCGCACUACAGCCUUGACCUCCUGGGCUCAAGGAAUCCUCCCACCUCAGCCUCCUAAGUAGCCGGAACUAUAGGUGCAUGCCACCAUGCCUGGCCACCUGCUGGAGUUUAAGCAGGUGGUAGGAUGGGUGGAUGGUCCCUAAAGACACCCAUCUUUUAAUCUUUGAAAUCUGUGGAUAUGCUACCUUCUAGGGAGAAAAAGGACUUGGAAGAUGUUAGUAAGCAUCUUAAAAUGGAAAAGUUGUCCUAGACUCCCUGAAUGGGCCCAAAGUCAUCGUGAGGUCCUUAUAAGAGGGAGGCAGGAGGGUCAGAGGCAAAGACGAUGAUGUGAUCAUGGGGGCAGAAGUGUGUGUGUGCGAGAGAGGAGCAGAGGGGUUGAAGAUGCACCUCUGCUGCUGGCUUUGCAGAUGGAGGAAGGGGCUUUAAGCCAAGGAACACAGGCAGCCUCUAGAAGCCCGAAAAGGACACAGAUUCUCCCCUAUGCCCUCCACAAGGAAAAGCAGCCCUGCCGACCCAUUUCUGACUUCUGACCUCCAGAACAGUGAGAUGAUCUGUGUUGUGUAAAGCCACUCCGCUUGUGGGUGUAACUGAUGACAGCAGCAAUAGGAAAGCAUACAGGCUGCAAGGAUGAAAAUCCUCGAGAACAA